UACCAGCACCCCGAGUGGUCGGGACGAUUAUUGGGCCUAAAGCAUCCGUAGCCGGUCAUGCAAGUCCUCCGUUAAAUCCAGCCGCUCAACGGUUGGGCUGCGGAGGAUACUACGUGGCUAGGAGGCGGGAGAGGCAAGCGGUACUUAGUGGGUAGGGGUAAAAUCCGUUGAUCCAUUGAAGACCACCAGUGGCGAAGGCGGCUUGCCAGAACGCACUCGACGGUGAGGGAUGAAAGCUGGGGGAGCAAACCGG
rnacentral:rRNA from 1 species